rnacentral:rRNA from 1 species
UACGGAGGGUGCAAACGUUGCUCGGAAUCAUUGGGCGUAAAGAGCGCGUAGGCGGUCCGGUAAGUCCGCUGUGAAAGUCAAGGGCCCAACCUUGGAAUUGCCUUUGAUACUGGCUGUCUUGAGUUCGGGAGAGGUGAGUGGAAUGCCGAGUGUAGAGGUGAAAUUCGUAGAUAUUCGCAAGAACACCAGUGGCGAAGGCGGCUCACUGGCCCGAUACUGACGCUGAGGCACGAAAGCGUGGGGAGCAAACAGG